rnacentral:rRNA from 1 species
GCUUACGGCCACACCGCCUAGUUCACGCCCGAUUUCGUUUGAUCUCGGAAGCUAAGAUAGGUUGGCCCUGGUUAGUACUUGGAUGGGAGACCGCCUGGGAAUACCAGGUGCUGUAAAGC